CACCGAAGCUGCGGCAGCGACGCUGAUGCGUUGUUGGGUAGGGGAGCGUUCUGUAAGCCUGCGAAGGUGACCUGUGAGGGUUGCUGGAGGUAUCAGAAGUGCGAAUGCUGACAUAAGUAACGAUAAAGCGGGUGAAAAGCCCGCUCGCCGGAAGACCAAGGGUUCCUGUCCAACGUUAAUCGGGGCAGGGUGAGUCGACCCCUAAGGCGAGGCCGAAAGGCGUAGUCGAUGGGAAACGGGUUAAUAUUCCCGUACUUGGUGUUACUGCGAAGGGGGGACGGAGAAGGCUAUGUUGGCCGGGCGACGGUUGUCCCGGUUUAAGCGUGUAGGUGUGUGUUCCAGGUAAAUCCGGUUCACUUUAACACUGAGGCGUGAUGACGAGGCACUACGGUGCUG
rnacentral:rRNA from 1 species